UGGGGAAUUUUGGACAAUGGGCGCAAGCCUGAUCCAGCAAUGCCGCGUGAGUGAAGAAGGCCCUCGGGUUGUAAAGCUCUUUAGUUGGGGAAGAAAGGGUGGUUGCUAACAUCAACUACAGAUGACGGUACCCAAAGAAUAAGCACCGGCUAACUACGUGCCAGCAGCCGCGGUAAUACGUAGGGUGCGAGCGUUAAUCGGAAUUACUGGGCGUAAAGGGUGCGCAGGCGGUUAAUUAAGUCAGAUGUGAAAUACCUGGGCUCAACCUGGGAGGUGCAUUUGAGACUGGUUGGCUGGAGUGUGUCAGAGGGGGGUGGAAUUCCACGUGUAGCAGUGAAAUGCGUAGAGAUGUGGAGGAAUACCGAUGGCGAAGGCAGCCCCCUGGGAUAACACUGACGCUCAGGCACGAAAGCGUGGGGAGCAAACAGG
rnacentral:rRNA from 1 species